CAUGCAGGUUGAUGCAACGUACAGACUUUGCCUUUGAAAGGGUAAGGUGGCAACCUAAAGAUUGCUCUAUGGAAGAAUUUGAGGGUUCCAGAUUCUUGAGAAGGAUGAAGAACAAAACCCUAGCCUUUGUUGGAGACUCAUUGGG